AAAGUCGUAACAAGGUUUCCGUAGGUGAACCUGCGGAAGGAUCAUUAAAAGUUAAUUGGUUAUACUCCGGUAUAAAUCUAAUUAAACACCUCUGAGUACCUUACCUGUUGCUUCCGUGAGGCCUGACUCCAGCAGUGGUUCGCCGCCGCUGGAUACUUGCGGAAGGUAUACACUUAAACACUUUGAAUCUAUGUCAUCUGUCUGAUAAUGUUUAUAACAAACGUUAAAACUUUCAACAACGGAUCUCUUGGUUCUC
rnacentral:misc_RNA from 1 species